rnacentral:tRNA from 1 species
CGGGCGGCGUGCCGUGAAUGGGCAACGCCGGCCCGGUUCGCAUCCGGUCACCCGGAUCGUUCGGUCAGUGCUCCCUGCCGGUCUCGCGGCGCCGCCUGUCC